rnacentral:ncRNA from 1 species
GAAAAGACAUCGAAAAGAAGAGUAACAGUGUUGAUUAUUUAAAGAGAGUCUCUGGUUGGUGAGAAGAGAUAGUAACUUCGUUGUGAAACACAUCUUGGAGUCGGUUUUUUGAAGUCUAGUAGGAAAACCCGGGAAGCCCGUUACAGCGAUGGUUAUUGAUAGAUAACUUCAUGAGAUUUAUUCUGUGAGGAAUAGAUGAAAAAAGGUGGAACCACGUAAUUUACGUCCUUUAG